UACGUAGGGUGCGAGCGUUAAUCGGAAUUACUGGGCGUAAAGCGUGCGCAGGCGGUUAUGUAAGACAGUUGUGAAAUCCCCGGGCUCAACCUGGGAACUGCAUUUGUGACUGCAUCGCUGGAGUGCGGCAGAGGGGGAUGGAAUUCCGCGUGUAGCAGUGAAAUGCGUAGAUAUGCGGAGGAACACCGAUGGCGAAGGCAAUCCCCUGGGCCUGCACUGACGCUCAUGCACGAAAGCGUGGGGAGCAAACAGG
rnacentral:rRNA from 1 species